rnacentral:rRNA from 1 species
GAUGAACGCUAGCUACAGGCUUAACACAUGCAAGUCGAGGGGCAGCAUUUUAGUUUGCUUGCAAACUGAAGAUGGCGACCGGCGCACGGGUGAGUAACACGUAUCCAACCUGCCGAUAACUCCGGAAUAGCCUUUCGAAAGAAAGAUUAAUACCGGAUAGCAUACGAAUAUCGCAUGAUAUUUUUAUUAAAGAAUUUCGGUUAUCGAUGGGGAUGCGUUCCAUUAGUUUGUUGGCGGGGUAACGGCCCACCAAGACUACGAUGGAUAGGGGUUCUGAGAGGAAGGUCCCCCACAUUGGAACUGAGACACGGUCCAAACUCCUACGGGAGGCAGCAGUGAGGAAUAUUGGUCAAUGGGCGAGAGCCUGAACCAGCCAAGUAGCGUGAAGGAUGAAGGCUCUAUGGGUCGUAAACUUCUUUUAUAUGGGAAUAAAGUUUUCCACGUGUGGAAUUUUGUAUGUACCAUAUGAAUAAGGAUCGGCUAACUCCGUGCCAGCAGCCGCGGUAAUACGGAGGACCCGAGCGUUAUCCGGAUUUAUUGGGUUUAAAGGGAGCGUAGGUGGAUUGUUAAGUCAGUUGUGAAAGGUUGGCGGCUCAACCGUAAAAUUGCAGUUGGAAACUGGCAGUCUGAGUACAGUAGAGGUGGGCGGAAUUCGUGGUGUAAGCGGUGAAAUGCUUAGAUAUCACGAAAGAACUCCGAUUGCGAAGGCAGCUCACUAGACUGUCAAUGACAAUGAUGCUCGAAAAGGGUGGGUAUCAAACA